CCUACGGGAGGCAGCAGUGAGGAAUAUUGGUCAAUGGGCGUAAGCCUGAACCAGCCAAGCCGCGUGAGGGAUGAAGGUUCUAUGGAUCGUAAACCUCUUUUAUCAGGGAAUAAAGUGCGGGACGUGUCCCGUGUUGUAUGUACCUUAUGAAUAAGGAUCGGCUAACUCCGUGCCAGCAGCCGCGGUAAUACGGAGGAUCCGAGCGUUAUCCGGAUUUAUUGGGUUUAAAGGGUGCGUAGGCGGCCUUUUAAGUCAGCGGUGAAAGGCUGGGGCUCAACCAUAGCAUUGCCGUUGAAACUGGGAGGCUUGAGUAGGAGAGAGGUAGGCGGAAUGCGUGGUGUAGCGGUGAAAUGCAUAGAUAUCACGCAGAACCCCGAUUGCGAAGGCAGCCUGCC
rnacentral:rRNA from 1 species